rnacentral:misc_RNA from 1 species
GAAAUGCGAUAAGUAAUGUGAAUUGCAGAAUUCAGUGAAUCAUCGAAUCUUUGAACGCACCUUGCGCUCCUGGACUUGUUUCAGGAGCAUGCCUGUUUGAGUGUCAUGAAAUCAUCAACCACGAUGCCUUUGUGUGUCGCGGCUUGGAGUUGGGGAUCUGCUGGCGCAAGUCGGCUUCCCUUGAAUGCAUUAGUCGGGCGCUCUCGCUCCGAGAAGUGUGAUAAACUAUCAUUCACUGAUCGGCGAGGGGCUAUGUCCGGGCUUCUAACCGCAUGAAUGCAUGCACUUUGACAUAUCUGACCUCAAAUCAGGUAGGACUACCCGCUGAACUUAA